GGACAGGAGGGUGAUCUGGCUGCCAGGUCUGUCACCCCACUGAUCGCCAGUGUUGAUUCGGCUGAUGUGGCUGACUAGUCAGUUCCCGCCUUCCAUCCUCACUGCGGCUCCUUGUGCAUCCCUCCCGAAGCUGCGUGCUGGGCCAUAGUGGAUGACCUUCCCGACAGAGGACCGUUUUUCAGUCAGGAUAUAAGAGCUGCAUUUCCCGCUAGGACCUCCAGACACUCAAGGUCCCUUUGCAGGAGAACGAACAUCUCCCAGUGAGGUGCUGCACGUGCCUUUCUUU
ensembl:misc_RNA 7SK 7SK RNA